CCCAAUCUCAAUCCGGAGGCCAGUAGCACCAGGAUAUGUCUUAAAGAGCUGGGAACCUUUGCUCAAAGCUCCAUCGCCCUUCACCAUCAGUACAACCCCAAGUUUCAGACCCUGUUCCAACCCUGUAACUUGAUGGGAGCUAUGCAGCUGAUUGAAGACUUCAGCACACAUGUCAGCAUUGACUGCAGCCCUCAUAAAACUGUCAAGAAGACUGGUAGGAGACAGAUGUGUCAGCUUUAAGUUUUUACUUGCGCCAAUGAAUUUCCCUGUUUGCCAAAGCAAGUGGCUUGGAUCCUGGCCACAAGCAAGGUUUUCAUGUAUCCAGAGUUACUUCCAGUGUGUUCCCUGAAGGCAAAGAAUCCCCAGGAUAAGAUCCUCUUCACCAAGGCUGAGGACAACAAGUACCUUCUAACCUGCAAGACUGCCCGCCAACUGACAGUGAGAAUCAAGAACCUCAACAUGAACAGAGCUCCUGACAACAUCAUUAAAUUUUAUAAGAAGACCAAACAGCUGCCAGUCCUAGGAAAAUGCUGUGAAGAGAUCCAGCCACAUCAGUGGAAGCCACCUAUAGAGAGAGAAGAACACCGGCUCCCAUUCUGGUUAAAGGCCAGUCUGCCAUCCAUCCAGGAAGAACUGCGGCACAUGGCUGAUGGUGCUAGAGAGGUAGGAAAUAUGACUGG
rnacentral:sRNA from 1 species